AACCUUACCAAGGCUUGACAUACACCGGAAACGGCCAGAGAUGGUUGCCCCCUUGUGGUCGGUGUACAGGUGGUGCAUGGUUGUCGUCAGCUCGUGUCGUGAGAUGUUGGGUUAAGUCCCGCAACGAGCGCAACCCUCGUUCUAUGUUGCCAGCGCGUUAUGGCGGGGACUCAUAGGAGACUGCCGGGGUCAACUCGGAGGAAGGUGGGGAUGACGUCAAAUCAUCAUGCCCCUUAUGUAUUGGGCUUCACGCAUGCUACAAUGGCCGGUACAAAGGGGUGGGAUACCGUAAGGUGGAGC
rnacentral:rRNA from 1 species